GGGAAGAGUUGGUAUGGUAGGCAAUGUGGGCUUGGGCAGCUCAUCAGGAAGAUGGGGAAAAGGUGGCAAUUCAGGUUUUGGCAGAGUGGGAAUUUCAGGUUUUGGCAAGGUUGGAACUUCAGGCAAUGGUGGAAGCUCAACAUUAGGCAGUGGUGGCAGCUCAGGCAAUUCAGGUUUAGGAAGCUCAGGUACCUCAGGCAAUGUUGUCUCCAGGAGAUGACGCGCCUCUACCCUGACUGUGUGGCAGUUCAUCAGGCAAAUCAGCAACAGUGGAAAUAUGAAGAAUGAGGCAUGAAUUUUGGCCAUAGCUUGGAGCACAGACAAGGACUACUUUAAAAGGUAUAAAGAGCUUGCAGCAACUGCUAAAUGUUGAAAUCUGU
rnacentral:misc_RNA from 1 species